rnacentral:rRNA from 1 species
CAGCCGCCGCGGUAAUACCGGCAGUUCAAGUGAUGGCCGAUCUUAUUGGGCCUAAAGCGUCCGUAGCCGGCCGGGCAAGUCCGUUGGGAAAUCUGUUCGCUUAACGAACAGGCGUCCAGCGGAAACUGCUCGGCUUGGGACCGAAAGACCUGAGGGGUACGUCCGGGGUAGGAGUGAAAUCCUGUAAUCCUGGACGGACCGCCGAUGGGGAAACCACCUCAGGAGGACGGAUCCGACGGUGAGGGACGAAAGCUAGGGUCUCGAACCGGAUUAGAUACCCGGGUAGUCCUAGCUGUAAACGAUGUCUGCUAGGUGUGGCACAGGCUACGAGCCUGUGCUGUGCCGUAGGGAAGCCGAGAAGCAGACCGCCUGGGAAGUACGUCCGCAAGGAUGAAACUUAAAGGAAUUGGCGGGGGAGCAC